GCCUCUCAGCCUCCGCAGCUGCGUGAAAGGCCGCUGAGAGCGCCAGGCGUUUGGCCGCGCGGGUUGACAGGCAGCGAUGUAGUGCUUCCAUAAGGAUUGGGAUGUGUGGCUGGGACGCACAGCUGUUAUUUCUGCAGUUUCAAAAUGAAUAUAUUUCCUUUCACCGUCUCUCACAAAAGGCUGUCAGGAGCGGUGCUGGCGCUGCGUGUCCUGACUCGGUGCAGCACAGCCUGAAGCCAUCACUCAGAGUGGCUUCCCCGGCCAGGACCGAACGUUCCCAGACACUGCUUCACGGUGCGACCUGUGGGCACACGGCCUUGGCCGGAUUCAGCACAAUCCCCCGUUUUCCAGAUGCCCCCAUGUUCACAAAUAACAUACGCCCGUAUGGCUCCAAUCCACACACGGGUCAAGCUCUGUCUCAAAGCGAAUGGAUAUUGGUAACAAACGCGCCGCCUGCUCUCCUGGCCCUGCUUCUGGGCAAGCACACAACGAGAGACACCCCAGCUCUAAACGUAGGAGCCGGGACCACUGAUUUGGUGGUGACGGGUGCUGUGAGCACACAGAGCCCCUUUGGCAGAGGCCGGGCUCUGUGCUGCGUGCCCUGCAGCUCUGCGUGGCCCCGAACUGCGCCCUGCGGCCUGCGCUGCUCCUCACCGCUGAGCUGAUUGCCCGUUGAUCCUCCGCUCCUUCAGCGAUGACGAUCAGCUUUUGAACUGCCGUAAAUGAGGCCAAUCAGCAUUACUUUCGUUUCAUUACUUCAAGAGCUUACUCAUAAAUUUCCUCUUAUCCUGCUUCCCCUUUGGUCUGGAAUUAGCCACCGUACUUGGUAGGAGCUGCCGUACCCAGUUCUCCUCAACUGGAGCCGUUUGAUCUUUCCCAGGUUUAGCGAUCAACGAGCAAACACGCUUUGCCUUGCUUGAUUUAAAGAAAUACACCUUCUUCUCCAUUUUUCUUGGCACUGCACGUGCCGUGCCACUGGUGAAGUACGGAACGAGCUGCAGCACUUAACUGACCUCAGUAUAAUACGGGAGAGAAUGAAUUGGCAAUGAGUCUGUAAAAUAAUUAACAACAUCUUUCAUUUAGCGGUGUGAAUUUUAUUACUUGGACGUUAAAACACGAGGAUGGAUUUCAUUGCAGGCUAAGGGGUGUUUUCCCCCGGUAUUACCGGGCAGCCCACAGCUCACUGCGUGGCAGAGGUGGGACAGCUUUAAAGCUACAACCUUCUGGGGUAAAAACCCCACGUACUCCUCAAAAGAUGCAACAGGAAUGUGAAACUAUUUGUGUAAGCACCCUUGUAGCCAGUGCUGGGCUAACUCCUCCUCCUCCAGCUGCCAUGGGAAAGGUAUUUGAGAGCCAUUUGGAGGCACUCGCUGCCUUUCAGGCUCCAUCCACCCUCACUUUUGGGGAAAAGCCAUUUCCGAACUAAACAUAAAUGGUUUCACCUGUGAUAAAUAACAGUUUUUUUCUUGAGAUGCUUCAAUUCAUGGCACCUGGAGGACACCAAAGCUCCCCAUAAAAGUGUACUGUGUGCUUGUGGAUGCUUUUGGGGCCUGAGCUCUUGCUUUGCACCUCCUUGUUUUGUAGUUCCUGCCUUGGAGCAGACCCAAGGCAAGCAAUUAUUGUUUCUGCUGCUGUGCCUUUCUCCUGGUGGCUGGAGAAGCAAGGCAAGGCGUAAUCUCAUCUUUUCUCUGCACGGAUCUACAAGCCCGUGGGGAGUCCUCUGAAACAGAAAAGCACCCCUGCUGGGUCCUGCCCAGUGCUGCUGCUGCUGCCGUCCUCCCGGACUGUCUGUGCGAAGGAGCGACUGUGGUCGGAGGCCUUCUGGGAGAGGUCCAGGCGGAGGCUGGGGGAGGAAGGAGGAUGUGCACGGAUUAUCCCGCUUGAACUGAGACAACUGGCAGCCAUAUGUAAGAUGGAAGCAAAUCCCUAAUGUACAUGUAAGGAAGAUGGGCCUUUCUGCCACCAUCUUACAACACAUCUGUGAGUACCUGCAGGGGAGAAGGAAGAAUAUAGGCAUGCCCAUUCAAUCGAGGGAAAGGUGUAGCUGUAAAUGCAAGGCCUAUGUGUAACUGAA